GACGAACGCUGGCGGCGUGCUUAACACAUGCAAGUCGAACGGUAAGGCCCUUCGGGGUACACGAGUGGCGAACGGGUGAGUAACACGUGGGUGAUCUGCCCUGCACUUCGGGAUAAGCCUGGGAAACUGGGUCUAAUACCGGAUAGGACUCCGGGCUUCAUGGUUGGGGGUGGAAAGCUUUUGCGGUGUGGGAUGGGCCCGCGGCCUAUCAGCUUGUUGGUUGGGUAAUGGCCUACCAAGGCGUCGACGGGUAGCCGGCCUGAGAGGGUGACCGGCCACACUGGGACUGAGAUACGGCCCAGACUCCUACGGGAGGCAGCAGUGGGGAAUAUUGCACAAUGGGCGCAAGCCUGAUGCAGCGACGCCGCGUGAGGGAUGACGGCCUUCGGGUUGUAAACCUCUUUCAGCACCGACGAAGCGCAAGUGACGGUAGGUGCAGAAGAAGGACCGGCCAACUACGUGCCAGCCGCCGCUGUAA
rnacentral:rRNA from 1 species